rnacentral:rRNA from 1 species
AUGCAAGUCGAACGGUAACAGGAAGCAGCUUGCUUCUUUGCUGACGAGUGGCGGACGGGUGAGUAAUGUCUGGGAAACUGCCUGAUGGAGGGGGAUAACUACUGGAAACGGUAGCUAAUACCGCAUAACGUCGCAAGACCAAAGAGGGGGACCUUCGGGCCUCUUGCCAUCGGAUGUGCCCAGAUGGGAUUAGCUGUGGUGGGGUAACGGCUCACCAGGCGACGAUCCCUAGCUGGUCUGAGAGGAUGACCAGCCACACUGGAACUGAGACACGGUCCAGACUCCUACGGGAGGCAGCAGUGGGGAAUAUUGCACAAUGGGCGCAAGCCUGAUGCAGCCAUGCCGCGUGUAUGAAGAAGGCCUUCGGGUUGUAAAGUACUUUCAGCGGGGAGGAAGGGAGUAAAGUUAAUACCUUUGCUCAUUGACGUUACCCGCAGAAGAAGCACCGGCUAACUCCGUGCCAGCAGCCGCGGUAAUACGGAGGGUGCAAGCGUUAAUCGGAAUUACUGGGCGUAAAGCGCACGCAGGCGGUUUGUUAAGUCAGAUGUGAAAUCCCCGGGCUCAACCUGGGAACUGCAUCUGAUACUGGCAAGCUUGAGUCUCGUAGAGGGGGGUAGAAUUCCAGGUGUAGCGGUGAAAUGCGUAGAGAUCUGGAGGAAUACCGGUGGCGAAGGCGGCCCCCUGACGAAGA